rnacentral:rRNA from 1 species
CGCCUGGCGCGAAUCGGCUCCACCCGCCAAGCAAUACCAUCUGGCGUCGCCCUUCGGCGCCUCCUCAAGCCGUCUGUCAAUCCUACACCAAAAUCAGACUCCAUCUUUGUGCCGGCUCCCCCCGAAGAAGUCGGAUCCGACUUAAGAGCCCCAGCAGGCAGCACGAGAAUUCUUGCAAAUGACUCCAAGAACGCCGUAGUCGAAGCCGGCCCGGGGACUUUAGAACCCGACCCGGGGACUAUGGCGACCAGUCCGAAGACUCCAGAACUCGGCCCGGGGACUGCGCCAGUCAGCCCGGGGACUUCAUCAAUCCAGCAAGUGGCCGCGGACUCUAGCCCGCCGCCUCCCAGCCCAACCACCCUCGUCCAAGUCGCAGUACUGACGGUUGAAGAAAUAGCAGCACCCUCAUGGGCCCAUCCCAUCCUCAAGUUCCUAGUGAGCAAAGAGCUGCCAACUGAUGAAAUCCUGGCUCGGCAAGUGCAACGCCGAGCGGCAGCUUACACCAUAGUCAAUAGAGAGUUGGUCAGGCGUAGCGUCACUGGUGUCUACCAGUGUUGCAUCGAGCCAGAGCAAGGCCAAGCAACUCUCAAAGAAAUCCAUCAAGGCGAGUGUGGCCACCAUGCGGCUUCAAGAGCACUCGUCGCCAAAGCCUUUCGACAUGGUUUCUUCUAG